rnacentral:lncRNA from 1 species
ACUCUAUAUGUGUUCAGUCGUCAUGUCCUCAUAUUGUUUUAGGCUGUGAAAGACUUGAGUGUGUUUCAGUUGAUGUCCCCAUAUUGUCUGACCCAACGACUGUAGAGUGUGUGUUACGUGUCCUCAUAAUGUUGGGUAGCAGAUGCUGUACAGUGUUAGCAGUUUCUAUAGAGUUUGGCAUAAUGAGCCUAGAUCCUCCUGUGAAUUAUGUUUACUGAAACAAGUAUGAUCAUUUGUUCAUUAAUUAGUCAGGAUUUAUAGUAGAGAAUAUGUCUGACACUGUAUUGUUGUGUUUUGUUGCAGACACCAAGUGUUCAGAUCCUGACUCAACCUUCUACAGACCAAGAAGCAAGCGAGAGAUCCACUUCAUCCUUCCAACAGACACCAAGUGUUCAGAUCCUGACUCAACCUUCUACAGACCAAGAAGCAAGCGAGAGAUCCACUUCAUCCUUCCAACAGACACCAAGUGUUCAGAUCCUGACUCAACCUUCUACAGACUAAGAAGCAAGCGAGAGAUCCACUUCAUCCUUCCAACAGACACCAAGUGUUCAGAUCCUGACUCAACCUUCUACAGACUAAGAAGCAAGCGAGAGAUCCACUUCAUCCUUCCAACAGACACCAAGUGUUCAGAUCCUGACUCAACCUUCUGCAGACCAAGAAGUGAGCAAGAGAUCCACUUCAUCCUUCCAACAGACACCAAGUGUUCAGAUCCUGACUCAACCUUCUGUAGACCAAGAAGCGAGCGAGAGAUCCACUUCAUCCUUCCAACAGACACCAAGUGUUCAGAUCCUGACUCAACUUUCUGCAGACCAAGAAGUGAGCAUGAGAUCCACUUCAUCCUUCCAACAGACACCAAGUGUUCAGAUCCUGACUCAACCUUCUGUAGACCAAGAAGCGAGCGAGAGAUCCACUUCAUCCUUCCAACAGGUAAUUACACAUUAAUUUGUUCCAUUUGGAAUUAA